rnacentral:rRNA from 1 species
UGGGGAAUUUUGGGGCAAUGGGAGGCAACUCUGACCCAGCAACGCCGCGUGAAUGAUGAAGGUCUUCGGAUUGUAAAGUUCUGUGAUGGGGGACGGAAGAAAGUAGACGGUACCCCAACUAGCAAGCCACGGCUAACUACGUGCCAGCAGCCGCGGUAAUACGUAGGUGGCAAGCGUUGUCCGGAAUGACUGGGCGUAAAGGGUGCGUAGGUGGCCGAUCAAGUUGAUUGUGAAAUUCCGGGGCGUCAACUCCGGAGCUACAGUCAAAACUGACCGGCUUGAGUGCAGGAGAGGUAAGCGGAAUUCCUAGUGUAGCGGUGGAAUGCGUAGAUAUUAGGAGGAACACCGGAGGCGAAAGCGGCUUACUGGACUG